rnacentral:rRNA from 1 species
CAGCAGCCGCGGGAAUACGAAGGGUGCAAGCGUUACUCGGAAUUACUGGGCGUAAAGCGUGCGUAGGUGGUUGUUUAAGUCUGCUGUGAAAGCCCUGGGCUCAACCUGGGAAUUGCAGUGGAUACUGGGCAACUAGAGUAAGGUAGAGGAUAGUGGAAUUUCCGGUGUAACAGUGAAAUGCGUAGAGAUCGGAAGGAACAUCUGUGGCGAAGGCGACUAUCUGGGCCAUUACUGACACUGAGGCACGAAAGCGUGGGGAGCAAACAGGAUUAGAUACCCGAGUAGUCCCUGUCUCUUAUAC